GACGAACGCUGGCGGCGUGCCUAAUACAUGCAAGUAGAACGCUGAAGGAGGAGCUUGCUCUUCUGGAUGAGUUGCGAACGGGUGAGUAACGCGUAGGUAACCUGCCUGGUAGCGGGGGAUAACUAUUGGAAACGAUAGCUAAUACCGCAUAAGAGUAGAUGUUGCAUGACAUUUGCAUAAAAGGUGCAAUUGCAUCACUACCAGAUGGACCUGCGUUGUAUUAGCUAGUUGGUGAGGUAACGGCUCACCAAGGCGACGAUACAUAGCCGACCUGAGAGGGUGAUCGGCCACACUGGGACUGAGACACGGCCCAGACUCCUACGGGAGGCAGCAGUAGGGAAUCUUCGGCAAUGGACGGAAGUCUGACCGAGCAACGCCGCGUGAGUGAAGAAGGUUUUCGGAUCGUAAAGCUCUGUUGUAAGAGAAGAACGAGUGUGAGAGUGGAAAGUUCACACUGUGACGGUAUCUUACCAGAAAGGGACGGCUA
rnacentral:rRNA from 1 species